rnacentral:rRNA from 1 species
AGAGGGGUGCCGACAAGGCACCCAGCGCGUCGUCCUCUCUGCUCCUCUCCUCACUCCCCCCUCCUCUUUGCUCCCCACUUCCCUAACCCUAGCCCCUUUCUACGCCGCCGCCGCCCGUUCCCUCGCCCUCUCCUGGCGCCACCCCCGUCCCUCCUCUCUCGUCACACAGCCGCCCCGCCACCCACCGCCUCGAACCGCGAGCGGAGGGAGGACGAUGAGCACGACGGCGACGGUGGCAGGGAGCAGUAGCAGCAGCAGGCCUUGGGCAACGCCGACGAGCGACGAGCAGCAGCGGAAGGAGGACGAGGAGCACGAAGGCAGCGGUGGCAGGGAAGUGGUGUAGGGCGCCGCCAGGGCCGUGCUGGAGCGGCUCGACGUGCCGGCCACGUGCUCCGAGGAGCCGGCUUCUAGCAAGGUGAGCCCCCUUUGCUUGGAUCUGCCUAUGCUAGAUCUGUCCAGGAUUUAUGCGAUUAGAUCUCCCGUCGUUGCUCACUCCCAUCCUACCCUCUCUAUUCAGUUCCCCCCUCUCAAGCCAUUUGAACUGAAUUUUGUAGCACUUGGUAAGGUACAGAAAAGAACAUGUACUAUGUAUUAGCAUAUUUGCUAUUGGCUUGAUCAAACUUCGGUUGUAUAAUAAUAAUCUUUGUGGUAAUGAGUAUAAGUGGCAGCGAAUGUUCUUUCUCUUUUACUUUAGAAUGGACAUACUAAAACAUCAGUUUAUUCCUACUGAAUUACUUUUGACCUAUGAAAAACCAUGUGUGUUAUUUGACCUUUUAGAUAAUAAUGUGAGAUGUGUGCAUUGCUUCAUGCUUCAGGUUAUUCUGAAGUCUGUGCUUCGUGACAAGUUGGAACUAUUGCCUUUGGCCAUAUUUCAUGGGAUGUUGUACUUUUUUGCGGGGUCAAGUAACAUGUAUGAACAUUAUUGAUGGUCCUGCUUGCACUCAUGGUUAAGUGAACCUGACAGGUUCCACUAGCUCCGUUGCCGAUACUGACUGAAUUUUCACCUUUUUUACCAUUCAUGGAUUAAUGGCUCGGAUGAAUGCACCAACAAUAGCCCCCUGGAAAACGAAAUUCCAACUUUGAUUACAUGGAGUCCAGGAGGAAAUGAGGUCGUUUCUGGACGGAUCAUGGGAUAACUGGACAUCAAGGUUUACUCUUUAGCUGAUCUGCUAUUGAAAUGUUUUAUGCAGUUCUGGAAAUGACAUGCGAAAAUACUAAAAAAUCGAUAUGAUUACUUCAAGAAGGUGUUAGAGAGAUCUGGGAAAGAUCAUGCUGUAUCGUUGGUUCUGACAUCUCGAAUAUAUCAUUGCAAGAUGAUUGUUGAUGGGGUGCCGAGACAUAUGUCUGAACUACCUCAUGUGACUGAUGAAAGAGGGCAGGUGGCCGACCCCCUUGAUAUCCAUGCCAGUAAGGAUUAUAUAUGUCCGUUUUAGCAUUUUGUUCAUAUAUAUGCCAUUCAGUAAUGACUGCAGUCUCUAGAUUUGGAUUCAGAGAUACUGUAGUGUGUGCCCUAUGCUGAAUAUUAUAAUUGUAGGAGCUUGCAGUCAAGCUGAUUUAUUGUCUCGAGAAGUGGGCAUUGGGAGUUGUUAAUUGGCUGAACAUGUACCUUCUGGGAGUUGUUUUAUUUGAUGGUCUGGUAAGUGACUUGCUUCCAGCAAUGGUUAGUUGUUUUUAUAUUUUGUUACGGCUACUAGAUGGGUGAUUGAGAUUGAGACUGUAUUCAACUGUUGAUUUUCUUGAUGUGCCUAAAUUUGGUAUGAGGUGUUUGUGUGUUUGGAUGCUCUUCAACUUUUCUGGUUAUACUAGAUACUAAUCUACAAUUCUAUAUAUGCCAUGCUAUUUGACUUUUCAUUUUCUUGAUCUACCUGAAUUGGUACUAUAGAGAUGUCUGAUGUAUGCGUGCGCGUGUGUGUGUGUUUAGGCAGUUUAGCCUCCUAUUCGUUUCCACACUUGGUUUUGCUUUUAGGAGAAUCAAGGAGGUUCUGUUAGGAGAAUUUCCUUUUGGUUUCCAUGGUUAAUUAAUCCUGGGACUAUUCAAAAAUGUAGAUAUCUUCGGUAUAUAUCUAAAGAAUUGUGUGUUCAUGGGCAACUAUACGUUGUUUUGUCUCAUGUACAUCAAGAGAAUUGCUAAAAAUACUUACUGAAGAUGAAAAUGUAGAUUGUACUACUGAAACUCAAAAUAUUGUUUACCCUUGGGGCCUUCUGAGAUAUCAGUGUACCAUCGUGGUGUUAUAUUUUGCAUUGUGUUGUCUUUUUUAUUAGUUUCAGGUUCAGCUGCCUUCGUAUGUGCAUAUUCUUUUGGUAUAAUCAUAGAACGAGAUAGUCGAUUCGUCUUCUUUUGCCGUUUGGGAUGAUACUUUCGUCCGAAUAAUAAAUGAUUGGAUGUAGGGAGAGGGGCUGUAUCUCGAUACCCUGUCCUCAUCAUGCUAAUUGCAUGUAAUCUUUUUCUCUUUCAUAUAUCUGUUGGUAGUUUUUCUUUUUGAGGUUGUUAUGUCCUCUCCUGAUUAUUCCUGUCCCGAUGAUUAAUUCUAAGAGAAUUGCUUCGGUACCCCCCCCACCCCGCAACAAAACAUAGAAGGGCAGAAAGGUCAUAUGGAAGAAAUGUAUACCCACCUCGUAUCGUAGAUGUACAAUCCCGGUCAUACGAAUAAACGUGACUAAGAAGGAAAAAAAACUUGCACGACCACUUGAUCGAUCCUGCUUGCCGCCUGACUAGAGAAAAAAAAACGCUGAUCGAUCAGGCCUGCUGCACGGCGAUCACGCGGUGGCUGAUCUGGAUCGUCGCGGGUGGGAUGAGGAGUGGAAGACUGCUGUCGCCGGUGGCUGGCCAAGUGUUGGACGUUGCCGUUCUCCGCGUCGACGGCCGCCUCUAACCACCCCAAUCUCCCAUGCCGGUGGUUCCAACCCCGUCGUCUCCCACAUCAUGGUCGGCGGUUAGGCAAGUGGCCGGCCACGUCUUGGACAUCUCUGUCUUCCGCAACGACGCUGCGUUCGCCGCAUGUAACCGUCCGGACGUCCCAUGGAGCCUACCACACUCGUCCAAAAUGCCGACGUUGACC